rnacentral:rRNA from 1 species
GCUAGUCUGCAGUCGAGAUUCCUACGGGAGGCAGCAGUAGGGAAUCUUGGACAAUGGGCGCAAGCCUGAUCCAGCCAUGCCGCGUGAGUGAAGAAGGCCUUAGGGUCGUAAAGCUCUUUCGCCUGUGAUGAUAAUGACAGUAGCAGGUAAAGAAACCCCGGCUAACUCCGUGCCAGCAGCCGCGGUAAUACGGAGGGGGUUAGCGUUGUUCGGAAUUACUGGGCGUAAAGCGCGCGUAGGCGGAUUGGAAAGUUAGAGGUGAAAUCCCGGGGCUCAACCCCGGAACGGCCUUUAAAACUCCCAGUCUAGAGUUCGAGAGAGGUGAGUGGAAUUCCAAGUGUAGAGGUGAAAUUCGUAGAUAUUUGGAGGAACACCAGUGGCGAAGGCGGCUCACUGGCUCGAUACUGACGCUGAGGUGCGAAAGUGUGGGGAGCAAACAGGAUUAGAUACCCUGGUAGUCCACACCGUAAACGAUGAAUGCCAGUCGUCGGAUAGUAUACUAUUCGGUGACACACCUAACGGAUUAAGCAUUCCGCCUGGGGAGUACGGUCGCAAGAUUAAAACUCAAAUGAAUUGACGG